rnacentral:rRNA from 1 species
AACGAACGCUGGCGGCAUGCCUAACACAUGCAAGUCGAACGAGAUCUUCGGGUCUAGUGGCGCACGGGUGCGUAACGCGUGGGAAUCUGCCCUUUGGUUCGGAAUAACAGUUGGAAACGACCGCUAAUACCGGAUGAUGACGAAAGUCCAAAGAUAUAUCGCCAGAGGAUGAGCCCGCGUAGGAUUAGCUAGUUGGUGUAGUAAAAGCUUACCAAGGCGACGACGGGUAGGGGGUGUGAGAGCAUGGCCCCCCACAAUGGCACUGAGACACGGGCCAUACAUCUACGGAUGGCAGCAACUGGGAAUCGUUGGCAAUGGGCGAAAGCCUGACCACGCGACGCCGCGUGAGGGAUGAAGUAUUUCGGUAUGUAAACCUCUUUUGCCAAAUCAUCGAGAUUUGGCGAAUAAGCGCCUACAAACUACGUGCCAGCCGCCGCCGUAA